UACGUAGGGACCAAGCGUUGUCCGGAAUCAUUGGGCGUAAAGAGCGUGUAGGCGGCCGUACAGGUCAGCUGUGAAAACUCGAGGCUCAACCUCGAGACGUCGGUUGAAACCGUAUGGCUAGAGUCCGGAAGAGGAGAGUGGAAUUCCCGGUGUAGCGGUGAAAUGCGCAGAUAUCGGGAAGAACACCCGUGGCGAAAGCGGGGCGCUGGACCACAACUGACGCUGAGGCGCGAAAGCUAGGGGAGCAAACAGG
rnacentral:rRNA from 1 species